GCAACCCCACCGCUCCUGAGCUAUUACCCAUAUCCCGAUUUCGUAGCAAUUUCACACAGGCACCCACAGAUCCCAUCGAGAUCGCUGGUGCGGGGGCGAAUAUACACAAGCACAGCUCCCUAUCGGCUUCCUUUCCAAACCCUCUGGCUACCAAGUCCUGAGACUGCGAAAGCAUUGAGCCCUCACUAUGCCCCCAGGGGCCGUGGGCCCUCAGAAGUCAUUCCGAUGCCGGUUCUCGAGGCUCUUACCUGACCCUGAGGUCCUUUCAAGAAUGUUCCCAAGUUUCAGGUCGCGGUUAGAAUGCAAGACUCAACGAAGGCCUCCACGCUGCUCCCCCACAAACAGAUGCUCCAGUCUGGAAACCUGGACCGUAAACCAACUCGGCCUUUCAACCGGAAGUAGCUUUGGACGCGAUGGCCCCUGGGAAACGUAGUUCAGAGCUCCGAGGAAGGGUGUGAAUUCUUUCACCAUCCCCACUGUCAUCUACCAGAUCUUGUCACGCCACAUUUGGUGGCCCCCGUCGGAUCAGGGGACCCCACAAAUACCUUGGGUUGUCAGUUAUAUAUCUUUAACAUUUACAUAAAUGCGAAUAAAGUUGUAUGAAUUUA